rnacentral:rRNA from 1 species
ACUGAACGCUGGCGGCAGGCCUAACACAUGCAAGUCGAGCGGAUGAAGGGAGCUUGCUCCUGGAUUCAGCGGCGGACGGGUGAGUAAUGCCUAGGAAUCUGCCUGGUAGUGGGGGAUAACGUCCGGAAACGGGCGCUAAUACCGCAUACGUCCUGAGGGAGAAAGUGGGGGAUCUUCGGACCUCACGCUAUCAGAUGAGCCUAGGUCGGAUUAGCUAGUUGGUGGGGUAAAGGCCUACCAAGGCGACGAUCCGUAACUGGUCUGAGAGGAUGAUCAGUCACACUGGAACUGAGACACGGUCCAGACUCCUACGGGAGGCAGCAGUGGGGAAUAUUGGACAAUGGGCGAAAGCCUGAUCCAGCCAUGCCGCGUGUGUGAAGAAGGUCUUCGGAUUGUAAAGCGCUUUAAGUUGGGAGGAAGGGCAGUAAGUUAAUACCUUGCUGUUUUGACGUUACCAACAGAAUAAGCACCGGCUAACUUCGUG